rnacentral:rRNA from 1 species
UAAGUAACUAAGCGUACAAGGUGGAUGCCUUGGCAAUCAGAGGCGAAGAAGGACGUGCUAAUCUGCGAAAAGCUUGGAUGAGUCGAUAAGAGGCGUUUAAUCCAAGAUAUCCGAAUGGGGAAACCCAGUAGAUGAAGAAUCUACUAUCAACAAGUGAAUUCAUAGCUUGUUGAGGCAAACCGGGAGAACUGAAACAUCUAAGUACCCCGAGGAAAAGAAAUCAACCGAGAUUUCGUCAGUAGCGGCGAGCGAAAGCGAAAGAGCCAGUAAGUGAUAGCAGUAUAGUGAGGAGAAUGUGUUGGGAAGCACAAUCAAAGAGGGUGAUAAUCCCGUAUCUAAAAACCAUAUUGUGGUACUAAGCUAACGAGAAGUAGGGCGGGACACGUGAUAUCCUGUUUGAAGAAGGGGGGACCAUCCUCCAAGGCUAAAUACUCCUGAUUGACCGAUAGUGAACCAGUACUGUGAAGGAAAGGCGAAAAGAACCCCGGUGAGGGGAGUGAAAUAGAACCUGAAACCUUGUACGUACAAGCAGUGGGAGCCCCAUCACUUAAUCCGAUUGGAAGGUGAUGAAAAGCAACCGCACUUAAACAAUGGUAAGAGGAGCGAAGCGAGUCAAACCACCCAAAAGAAGCAGUGGGAUUAAGUGAUGGGGUGACUGCGUACCUUUUGUAUAAUGGGUCAGCGACUUAUAUUUUGUAGCGAGGUUAACUGAAUAGGGGAGCCGAAGGGAAACCGAGUCUUAACUGGGCGAGUAGUUGCAAGGUAUAGACCCGAAACCCGGUGAUCUAGCCAUGGGCAGGUUGAAGGUUGGGUAACACUAACUGGAGGACCGAACCGACUAAUGUUGAAAAAUUAGCGGAUGACUUGUGGCUGGGGGUGAAAGGCCAAUCAAACCGGGAGAUAGCUGGUUCUCCCCGAAAUCUAUUUAGGUAGAGCCUUGAGGUGACACCUUUGGGGGUAGAGCACUGUUUCGGCUAGGGGGCCAUCCCGGCUUACCAACCCGAUGCAAACUACGAAUACCAAAGAGUGAUACUCAGGAGACACACGGCGGGUGCUAACGUCCGUCGUGGAGAGGGAAACAACCCAGACCGCCAGCUAAGGUCCCCAAGUCUAUAUUAAGUGGGAAACGAAGUGGGAAGGCUUAGACAGCUAGGAUGUUGGCUUAGAAGCAGCCAUCAUUUAAAGAAAGCGUAAUAGCUCACUAGUCGAGUCGGCCUGCGCGGAAGAUGUAACGGGGCUGAAAUAUAGCACCGAAGCUGCGGCAUCAGAAUUUAUUCUGUUGGGUAGGGGAGCGUUGUGUAAGCGGAAGAAGGUUCAUCGAGAGGUGGGCUGGACGUAUCACAAGUGCGAAUGCUGACAUAAGUAACGAUAAAACGGGUGAAAAACCCGUUCGCCGGAAGACCAAGGGUUCCUGUCCAACGUUAAUCGGGGCAGGGUGAGUCGGCUCCUAAGGCGAGGCUGAAAAGCGUAGUCGAUGGGAAACAGGUUAAUAUUCCUGUACUUGGUAAAGCUGCGAUGUGGGGACGGAGUAGGUUAGGUUAUCGCACUGUUGGAUAUGUGCGUUUAAGUUGGUAGGUGGGAAGUUUAGGCAAAUCCGGGCUUCCUUAACACAGAGAGAUGAUGACGAGGCUCUACGGAGCUGAAGUAACUGAUACCACACUUCCAGGAAAAGCCACUAAGCGAAAGGCUUUACUAAACCGUACUGAAAACCGACACAGGUGGUCAGGUAGAGAAUACUCAGGCGCUUGAGAGAACUCGGGUGAAGGAACUAGGCAAAAUAGCACCGUAACUUCGGGAGAAGGUGCGCCGGCGUAGAUUGUAAGGGCUAGCCCCUGAAGGUUGAACCGGUCGAAGAUACCAGCUGGCUGCAACUGUUUAUUAAAAACACAGCACUCUGCAAACACGAAAGUGGACGUAUAGGGUGUGAUGCCUGCCCGGUGCUGGAAGGUUAAUUGAUGGUGUAAUCGCAAGAGAAGCACCUGAUCGAAGCCCCAGUAAACGGCGGCCGUAACUAUAACGGUCCUAAGGUAGCGAAAUUCCUUGUCGGGUAAGUUCCGACCUGCACGAAUGGCAUAAUGAUGGCCAGGCUGUCUCCACCCGAGACUCAGUGAAAUUGAAAUCGCCGUGAAGAUGCGGUGUACCUGCGGCUAGACGGAAAGACCCCGUGAACCUUUACUAUAGCUUGACACUGAACAUUGAAUUUUGAUGUGUAGGAUAGGUGGGAGCCUUUGAAGCAGUGACGCCAGUCAUUGUGGAGGCGACCUUGAAAUACCACCCUUUAACGUUUGAUGUUCUAACGAAGAUGACGAAACGUGGUCUCGGACAGUGUCUGGUGGGUAGUUUGACUGGGGCGGUCUCCUCCCAAAGCGUAACGGAGGAGCACGAAGGUUUGCUAAUCACGGUCGGACAUCGUGAGGUUAGUGCAAUGGUAUAAGCAAGCUUAACUGCGAGACAGACAAGUCGAGCAGGUACGAAAGUAGGUCAUAGUGAUCCGGUGGUUCUGAAUGGAAGGGCCAUCGCUCAACGGAUAAAAGGUACUCCGGGGAUAACAGGCUGAUACCGCCCAAGAGUUCAUAUCGACGGCGGUGUUUGGCACCUCGAUGUCGGCUCAUCACAUCCUGGGGCUGAAGUAGGUCCCAAGGGUAUGGCUGUUCGCCAUUUAAAGUGGUACGCGAGCUGGGUUUAGAACGUCGUGAGACAGUUCGGUCCCUAUCUGCCGUGGGCGUAGGAGAAUUGGUUGGGGCUGCUCCUAGUACGAGAGGACCGGAGUGGACGCACCACUGGUGUUCCGGUUGUGUCGCCAGACGCAUUGCCGGGUAGCUAAGUGCGGAAGAGAUAAGUGCUGAAAGCAUCUAAGCACGAAACUUGCCAAGAGAUGAGUUCUCCCAAUCUAAGAGAUUGUAAGGGUUGUUGUAGACUACGACGUAGAUAGGUCUGGUGUGUAAGUGUAGUGAUGCAUUGAGCUAACAGAUACUAAUUGCCCGAGAGGCUUAACUA